rnacentral:rRNA from 1 species
UACGUAGGGUGCAAGCGUUUGUCCGGAAUUAUUGGGCGUAAAGAGCGUGUAGGCGGCCCGAUUAGUCCGCUGUGAAAGUCCAGGGCUCAACCCUGGAAUGCCGGUGGAUACUGUCGGGCUAGAGUCCGGAAGGGGCGAGUGGAAUUCCUGGUGUAGCGGUGAAAUGCGCAGAUAUCAGGAGGAACACCAAUGGCGAAGGCAGCUCGCUGGGACGUGACUGACGCUGAGACGCGAAAGCGUGGGGAGCAAACAGG